AACGAACGCUGGCGGCAGGCCUAACACAUGCAAGUCGAGCGCCCCGCAAGGGGAGCGGCGGACGGGUGAGUAACGCGUGGGAACGUGCCCCUUUCUACGGAAUAGCCUCGGGAAACUGGGAGUAAUACCGUAUAAGCCCUACGGGGGAAAGAUUUAUCGGGAAGGGAUCGGCCCGCGUUGGAUUAGGUAGUUGGUGGGGUAAUGGCCUACCAAGCCGACGAUCCAUAGCUGGUUUGAGAGGAUGAUCAGCCACACUGGGACUGAGACACGGCCCAGACUCCUCCGGGAGGAAGCGGUGGGGAAUCUUAGACAAUGGGCGCAAGCCUGAUCUAGCCAUGCCGCGUGAGCGAUGAAGGCCUUAGGGUUGUAAAGCUCUUUCAGGGGGGAAGAUAAUGACUGUACCCCCAGAAGAAGCCCCGGCUAACUCCGUGCCAGCAGCCGCCGUAACAC
rnacentral:rRNA from 1 species